UACGAAGGGGGGCUAGCGUUGCUCGGAAUCACUGGGCGUAAAGGGUGCGUAGGCGGGUCUUUAAGUCAGGGGGUGAAAUCCUGGAGCUCAACUCCAGAACUGCCUUUGAUACUGAGGAUCUUGAGUUCGGGAGAGGUGAGUGGAACUGCGAGUGUAGAGGUGAAAUUCGUAGAUAUUCGCAAGAACACCAGUGGCGAAGGCGGCUCACUGGCCCGAUACUGACG
rnacentral:rRNA from 1 species